rnacentral:rRNA from 1 species
ACGCUGGCGGCAUGCUUUACACAUGCAAGUCGGACGGCAGCACAGAGAAGCUUGCUUCUUGGGUGGCGAGUGGCGAACGGGUGAGUAACAUAUCGGAACGUACCGAGCAGUGGGGGAUAACUAAUCGAAAGAUUAGCUAAUACCGCAUAUUUUCUGAGGAAGAAAGCAGGGGACCAUUUGGCCUUGCGCUGUUUGAGCGGCCGAUAUCUGAUUAGCUAGUUGGUGGGGUAAAGGCCUGCCAAGGCGACGAUCAGUAGCGGGUCUGAGAGGAUGAUCCGCCACACUGGGACUGAGACACGGCCCAGACUCCUACGGGAGGCAGCAGUGGGGAAUUUUGGACAAUGGGCGCAAGCCUGAUCCAGCCAUGCCGCGUGUCUGAAGAAGGCCUUCGGGUUGUAAAGGACUUUUGUCAGGGAAGAAAAGGGCGGGGUUAAUACCCCUGUCUGAUGACGGUACCUGAAGAAUAAGCACCGGCUAACUACGUGCCAGCAGCCGCGGUAAUACGUAGGGUGCGAGCGUUAAUCGGAAUUACUGGGCGUAAAGCGGGCGCAGACGGUUACUUAAGCAGGAUGUGAAAUCCCCGGGCUCAACCUGGGAACUGCGUUCUGAACUGGGUGACUAGAGUGUGUCAGAGGGAGGUAGAAUUCCACGUGUAGCAGUGAAAUGCGUAGAGAUGUGGAGGAAUACCGAUGGCGAAGGCAGCCUCCUGGGAUAACACUGACGUUCAUGCCCGAAAGCGUGGGUAGCAAACAGGAUUAGAUACCCUGGUAGUCCACGCCCUAAACGAUGUCGAUUAGCUGUUGGGCAGCAUGACUGCUUAGUAGCGAAGCUAACGCGUGAAAUCGACCGCCUGGGGAGUACGGUCGCAAGAUUAAAACUCAAAGGAAUUGACGGGGACCCGCACAAGC